rnacentral:rRNA from 1 species
CAGUAGCCACGGUAAUACGAAGGGUGCAAGCGUUACUCGGAAUUACUGGGCGUAAAGCGUGCGUAGGUGGCUGUUUAAGUCGGAUGUGAAAGCCCUGGGCUUAACCUGGGAACUGCAUUCGAUACUGGAUAGCUAGAGAUCGGUAGAGGGCAGCGGAAUUCCGGGUGUAGCGGUGAAAUGCGUAGAUAUCCGGAGGAACACUGAUGGCGAAGGCAACUGCCUGGGCCUGAUCUGACACUGAGGCACGAAAGCGUGGGUAGCAAACAGGAUUAGAUACCCGGUAGUCCCUGUCUCUUAUACA